GCCAUAUCACGUUGAAACAUCAGUUCCCAUACAAUCACCAAAGUUAAGCAACGUCGAUCCUGGUUAGUACCUAAAUGGGUGACCGCUUGAGAAUACUAGAUGCUGUAAG